rnacentral:lncRNA from 1 species
AGGUUGCGGGAAGUUUCGGAGAAGCUGAACAAGUACAAUCUGAACAGCCACCCGCCUUUGAACGUACUGGAGCAGGCCACGAUUAAACAGUGUGUCGUGGGGCCCAAUCACGCCGCGUUUCUUCUUGAGGAUGGCAGAAUUUGUAGGAUUGGUUUUUCAGUACAACCAGACAGACUGGAAUUGGGUAAACCUGAUAAUAAUGAUGGGUCAAAACUGAACAGCAGCUCGGGGACAGGGAGGAC